rnacentral:tRNA from 1 species
AAGGAUGGGUCUUCAAGAGCUUGCUCUUAUCGACCUGUUUUAGAAACAUCAGGAGCUCUAAGUCAUACGAGCUCCAUUGGCGGGACACCGCCGUCUUCGUUUCUCUUUCUUCGCGGACGAACACGCGCCUGGGGUGGCGCUGCGCAUGGGCUGACGAAUGUCAUGCCUCGCGAGCUUUGCCUCACGUGCUGAGGGCUUGUAGCUCAGUUGGUUAGAGCGCGCGCUUGAUAAGCGUGAGGUCGGAAGUUCAAGUCUUCCCAGGCCCACCAUUUUGUCGAGCGCUGCAUUCGUCUUCUGGUUACGGGGCCAUAGCUCAGCUGGGAGAGCGCGUGCUUUGCAAGCAUGAGGUCGUCGGUUCGAUCCCGUCUGGCUCCACCAGAUGGGCGACUUUGAUGACUGCAUCGCAUGUCGGUGCUGUUUGCGCCUGACUUAAUCGUCCGCGAUAUACAACUUCGCGUGCAUCCAUCGGGAUCGCAUUGCGGGAUAUCUGACAUCGUGAAGAGGAGAUCGAUCCGAGUUUGGAUCCAGCGAAGCAAUUCGCGGGGUUCGAUCGCGUAUCUCCAGAUCAUUUUCGGCGCAUGCUCAUCGCAAGGUGAGCGUGUUGCAAAAUGGUCUUUGUUGGCGACGCUUGACCGCAUCGCCAUCGGUUCGAUCUUACGAAGCAAGCUGGUCUUUCUAAUCAAUGAUCCGUCUGCAUGUGAUGCGCCUCACCCGCGCGCUUCUCUCCUGAGAAGCUAGCCUGCAGAACAUUCUGCCGAGUGUGUGGACAUUGAUAAUGAGAGCAAUCAA